GUUAAACGGCCGCGGUACCCUAACCGUGCGAAGGUAGCGCAAUCACUUGUUCUUUAAAUGAGGACUAGUAUGAAUGGCAUCACGAGGGUUUCACUGUCUCCCCCUUUUAAUCAAUGAAACUGAUCUUCCCGUGAAGAAGCGGGAAUAAACAUAUAAGACGAGAAGACCCCAUGGAGCUUUAAACCCAGUAUCAACUACACUCACUAUACCACACAAGAUUAGUAGACAUGACACCUGGUUUUCGGUUGGGGUGACCACGGAGCAAAACAAAACCUCCAUGAUGAAAGGAAUCUAUUCCUAAUCUAAGAGCCACAGCUCAAAGAAUCAACAAACUGACAUUAAUUGACCCAAAUUAUUUUGAUCAACGAACCAAGUUACCCUGGGGAUAACAGCGCAAUCCAUUUCAAGAGCUCCUAUCGACAAAUGGGUUUACGACCUCGAUGUUGGAUCAGGGUAUCCCAGUGGUGCAGCCGCUACUAAAGGUUCGUUUGUUCAACGAUUAAAACCC
rnacentral:rRNA from 1 species